GACCCGUCUUGAACCACGGAGUCUAACAUGUGCGCGAGUCAUUGGGACUGCGAAACCUAAAGGCGCAAUGAAAGUGAAGGUCGCACCUACUAAGGUCGACCGAGGGAGGAUGGGCCGCGUUAGCGCGGCACUCYCGGGGCGUCUCGUUCUCAUUGCGAGAAGAGGCGCACCCAGAGCGUACACGUUGGGACCCGAAAGAUGGUGGACUAUGCCUGGUCAGGACGAAGUCAGGGGAAACCCUGAUGGAGGUCCGUAGCGAUUCUGACGUGCAAAUCGAUCGUCGGAACUGGGUAUAGGGGCGAAAGACUAAUCGAACCAUCUAGUAGCUGGUUCCUUCCGA
rnacentral:rRNA from 1 species